UACGUAGGUGGCAAGCGUUGUCCGGAUUUACUGGGCGUAAAGUGUGCGCAGGCGGCCAUGCAAGUCGAGUGUGAAAGCCCCGAGCUUAACUUGGGAAUUGCGCUCGAAACUACGUGGCUGGAGUGUGGCAGAGGAAGGUGGAAUUCCACGUGUAGCGGUGAAAUGCGUAGAGAUGUGGAGGAACACCAAUGGCGAAGGCAGCCUUCUGGGCCAACACUGACGCUCAUGCACGAAAGCGUGGGGAGCAAACAGG
rnacentral:rRNA from 1 species